rnacentral:rRNA from 1 species
UAGUGGCGAACGGGUGAGUAACACGUGGGCAAUCUGCCCUUCACUCUGGGACAAGCCCUGGAAACGGGGUCUAAUACCGGAUAACACUUNCACUCUGCAUGGGNGGGUGGUUAAAAGCUCCGGCGGUGAAGGAUGAGCCCGCGGCCUAUCAGCUUGUUGGUGAGGUAACGGCUCACCAAGGCGACGACGGGUAGCCGGCCUGAGAGGGCGACCGGCCACACUGGGACUGAGACACGGCCCAGACUCCUACGGGAGGCAGCAGUGGGGAAUAUUGCACAAUGGGCGAAAGCCUGAUGCAGCGACGCCGCGUGAGGGAUGACGGCCUUCGGGUUGUAAACCUCUUUCAGCAGGGAAGAAGCGAAAGUGACGGUACCUGCAGAAGAAGCGCCGGCUAACUACGUGCCAGCAGCCGCGGUAAUACGUAGGGCGCAAGCGUUGUCCGGAAUUAUUGGGCGUAAAGAGCUCGUAGGCGGCUUGUCACGUCGGGUGUGAAAGCCCGGGGCUUAACCCCGGGUCUGCAUUCGAUACGGGCUAGCUAGAGUGUNGGUAGGGGAGAUCGGAAUUNCU